ACGGUAAAUUUACCAAUAAUGUUGUAAAAAUGGUAAAAUAGCUAAAUCUUAGAGCCAUUGUUAUUUUUUACUAUUAGACAUUAGUAAAUACUAAAUACGAUUCGUAUUAGGUACUAAUGUUGUAUACCUACUUGUUAAAUCUAGUUCUUUCUAAUAAUAACAAUAAUUAACAAAAAAUUUAAAAAAUGAAUCUAAAAUAUCUAUUGUUCUGUAUUAGACAUUAGUAAUUAGUACAUUUUAUGAAAUAUGAAUAUUGAAUUAUUCAUAUUACAAUUAAUAAAUAAUUUAAACUAAACUAAACUAUCAAAAUUCACAUUACCUUUAUUUCUUUUUAAGUCAAAACAUUUAUAUUUAGACUUAACUUUUGUAUUGAUAAUAGUAUAUUAUCAAUAUCACAUUAUCUGCAUUCUUGGUAUCUCCCUAUAAAAUCUUUCCUAAUUACCUACUGAUAUUUAAUGUUCUAAUAUAUAUUAGGGGUGGCAGAAUAUUGAUUUUAUAGUAUAUAACAAACUAUAUAAACAAUAACAAGUAUAUAAAUUAUAAAUAUUACAAAUGAUAAUAUCACAGAAGUUCCUUUUUCGGUUUACCUACUUUGGUCCAACCUGUUUAUUACCUAUAUUAAGAUUUAUCUUAAACCGUGAUUAGUACUUUAUUCAUUAUUGUAUUGUUAACAUUUGAUAAAAAAUAUAUCUCUUUACAAUUUAGACUAGGCGUUUUCGAUUUCAUUUGAUUAGAGAGGUCACACAACAUUUUUUUUUGGUAAAAAAUAAUUUACCGGUAAAAAAAAAUUGGUAAAAUUUACGGUAAAUUUUUUUACCGGUAAAAAAUUACCUGGUAAAUUUACUCCACUCACAUCUCUAAUUAUGUUAUAGAGUAGUAUUGCGUGCGCGUGGACAUGAUAUGGGUUACACAACGAAUACCGUCUAAUAUAAUAACAUUAUAACGCCAUAAUAAUAAAAACAAUAAAAAAAAAAAACCAUCAAGAGCAAGCGUCGGCAGGUGGGGGGACGACACGAAAAAUGACAGCCAAGACUGGUGGGAGAGUUCAACGACUGUCGGCGACGCGUGGUGGACGGUCCGGACCAAACGGUACGAGCUUACAGUCGCGAUGAUCCGCUGACCGCCGCUGUUAUGGUGUUCAACGUGUUAUAUCUCAUCGCCGUGUUCGAGUUGGCGUUGUAUAGUUAUAUGGUGGCCAACAGGGAUUGGCUCUUCUCUUCGUAUACGCGCACAUUAUCGGACGAGGCAUAUUCCACAGCUGGCGGCAGCGGUGACGGCGAUUCGGACUUGGACUACGACUACGGGUCGUUUAUCGUCGACUAUUGACAUUUCCACCCGGUCAACAACCCCAAGCCGAAGAUGAAAAUACCCCACAAAAACGAGUAGAUAAAAUAUUUGAUCAAAUGGAUAAAAAUCACGAUGACAAACUUACACUGGAAGAGUUCCGGGAGGGAAGCAAGGCGGAUCCGAGAAUUGUGC